AAUAGGGGUCUAUGCUGAACAUUUUUUAAUAAUAACAAAAAUAAUGAGGGUAAAAAAUAAAUGAAAAUGGGAAUAAAUGGUAAAAAUAAAUAAAUAUAACAAGUGAAAAAAGAAAAUAAAAAAAAGGGAUACACAUGUUAGGGGUUGAACCCCUGACCUUCGGGACAUGGGGGGAUCAACCCACUCUCCCAUUGGGCCAAGGAUCUAGUUGUGUAAACAAAACACGCUGAACAAAUAAAU
rnacentral:lncRNA from 1 species